rfam:Gorilla gorilla gorilla genomic chromosome, chr1, whole genome shotgun sequence
ACCGGGUAUGGUGGCUCACACCUGUAAUUCCAGCACUUUGAGAGGCCCAGGCAGGAAGUCACUGGAGUCCAGGAGGUCAAGGCUGCAGUGAGAUGUGAUUGUGCCACUGCACCCCAGCCUGGGUGACAAAGGAAGACCCUGUCUCAAAAAAAAAAAAAANNNNNNNNNNUUUUUUUUUUGAGACAGGGUCUUCCUUUGUCACCCAGGCUGGGGUGCAGUGGCACAAUCACAUCUCACUGCAGCCUUGACCUCCUGGACUCCAGUGACUUCCUGCCUGGG